rnacentral:rRNA from 1 species
AGAACGAACGCUGGCGGCAGGCUUAACACAUGCAAGUCGAACGGGCCCUUCGGGGUCAGUGGCAGACGGGUGAGUAACACGUGGGAACGUACCUUUCAGUUCGGAAUAACCCAGGGAAACUUGGGCUAAGACCGGAUACGCCCUUUUGGGGAAAGAUUUAUCGCUGAGAGAUCGGCCCGCGUCUGAUUAGCUAGUUGGUGAGGUAAAGGCUCACCAAGGCGACGAUCAGUAGCUGGUCUGAGAGGAUGAUCAGCCACAUUGGGACUG